rnacentral:rRNA from 1 species
UACGAAGGGGGCUAGCGUUGCUCGGAAUUACUGGGCGUAAAGGGCGCGUAGGCGGCUUUGUAAGUCGGAUGUGAAAUCCCUCGGCUUAACCAAGGAAGUGCAUCCGAAACUACAGAGCUUGAGUACUUAAGAGGAUCGCGGAAUUCCCGGUGUAGAGGUGAAAUUCGUAGAUAUCGGGAGGAACACCAGUGGCGAAGGCGGCGAUCUGGGAAGAUACUGACGCUGAGGUGCGAAAGCGUGGGGAGCAAACAGG